CACUCCUGCGGGAGGCAGCAGUGGGGAAUUUUGGACAAUGGGCGAAAGCCUGAUCCAGCAAUGCCGCGUGAGUGAAGAAGGCCUUCGGGUUGUAAAGCUCUUUUGUCAGGGAAGAAACGGUGAGAGCUAAUAUCUUUUGCUAAUGACGGUACCUGAAGAAUAAGCACCGGCUAACUACGUGCCAGCAGCCGCGGUAAUACGUAGGGUGCAAGCGUUAAUCGGAAUUACUGGGCGUAAAGCGUGCGCAGGCGGUUUUGUAAGUCUGAUGUGAAAUCCCCGGGCUCAACCUGGGAAUUGCAUUGGAGACUGAAAGGCUAGAAUCUGGAAGAGGGGGGUAGAAUUCCACGUGUAGCAGUGAAAUGCGUAGAUAUGUGGAGGAACACCGAUGGCGAAGGCAGCCCCCUGGGUCAAGAUUGACGCUCAUGCACGAAAGCGUGGGGAGCAAACAGGAUUAGAUACCCCUGUAGUCCC
rnacentral:rRNA from 1 species